GGUUUAAACGACUUCGCCCUUAGAGUUUGAUCAUGGCUCAGGACGAACGUUGGCGACGUGCCUAACACAUGCAAGUCGAGCGAAGUGCUUAUGACAGAAACCUUCGGGAUAAAGACAUAAACAACUUAGCGGCGGAUGGGUGAGUAACGCGUGAGGAACCUGCCUAGUACAAGGGGAUAGCCUCGGGAAACCGGGAUUAAUACCCUAUGACACUUUUAAGUCACAUGACUUUUAAGUCAAAGCGUUUUAGCGGUAUUAGAUGGUCUCGCGUCCCAUUAGCUAGUUGGUGAGAUAAUGGCUCACCAAGGCAACGAUGGGUAGCCGGCUUGAGAGAGUGAACGGCCACACUGGAACUGAGACACGGUCCAGACUCCUACGGGAGGCAGCAGUGGGGAAUCUUGCACAAUGGAGGGAACUCUGAUGCAGCGACGUCGCGUGAACGAUGAAGGCUUUCGAGUCGUAAAGUUCUGUCCUAUGGGACGAUAAUGACGGUACCAUAGGAGGAAGCCCCGGCUAACUACGUGCCAGCAGCCGCGGUAAUACGUAGGGGGCGAACGUUGUCCGGAUUUAUUGGGCGUAAAGGGUACGCAGGCGGCCAUAUAAGUCAGAUGUGAAAGGCCAAGGCUUAACCUUGGUUAGCAUUUGAAACUGUGUGGCUUGAGUUAAGGAGAGGAAAGUGGAAUUCCUGGUGUAGCGGUGAAAUGCGUAGAUAUCAGGAGGAAUACCAGUGGCGAAGGCGACUUUCUGGACUUAUACUGACGCUGAGGUACGAAAGCGUGGGGAGCAAACAGGAUUAGAUACCCUGGUAGUCCACGCCGUAAACGAUGAGUGCUAGGUGUCGGGGGUCAAACCUCGGUGCCGCAGCUAACGCAUUAAGCACUCCGCCUGGGGAGUACGUUGCGCAAGAAUGAAACUCAAAUGAAUUGACGGAAGGGCG
rnacentral:rRNA from 1 species